rnacentral:rRNA from 1 species
CCUACGGGGGGCAGCAGUGGGGAAUAUUGGGCAAUGGAGGCAACUCUGACCCAGCAACGCCGCGUGAAUGAUGAAGGUCUUCGGAUUGUAAAGUUCUGUGAUGGGGGAUGAACACAAUGACGGUACCCCAAUAGCAAGCCACGGCUAACUACGUGCCAGCAGCCGCGGUAAUACGUAGGUGGCAAGCGUUAUCCGGAAUGAGUGGGCGUAAAGGGGGCGUAGGUGGUUUAGUAAGUGGGCGGGGUAAUCCCGGGGCUCAACCCGGGCGCUACCGCAAAAACUAUGGGGCUAGAGUGCAGGAGGGGUAGGGGGAAUUCCUGGUGUAGCGGUGAAAUGCGUAGAUAUAAGGAGGAACACCGGGGGCGAAGGCGGCCUGUUGGACUGCAACUGACGCGGAGGCACGAAAGCGUGGGGAGCAAACAGGAUUAGAUACCCGUGUAGUC